rnacentral:rRNA from 1 species
UACGGAGGGUGCAAGCGUUAAUCGGAAUUACUGGGCGUAAAGGGCGCGUAGGUGGUAUCUUAAGUUGGGUGUGAAAUCCCCGGGCUCAACCUGGGAAUUGCAUCCAAAACUGGGGUGCUAGAGUGUGGUAGAGGGUAGCGGAAUUUCUGGUGUAGCGGUGAAAUGCGUAGAUAUCAGAAGGAACAUCAAUGGCGAAGGCAGCUACCUGGGCCAACACUGACGCCGAGGCGCAAAAGCGUGGGGAGCAAACAGG